GACCCCUCGCCUUUAAAGAUGCUUCAACCACCUUUAAAACCGAGAUGCAACUUCAAUUCUGCUUUCCCCCUCCAGCUACUAGUUUAUCUAGUGCUUCUAAUUAGUCUUAACUCUUUUCUCCCUGGGAAAUUUUAAAUUAUUAGUGAGACCUGGUGCAGCAGCAGAUGCUGUGAAAAAAUAUUUCAUCUCUCUAUUAGGGCUGCAAGGGGAUGGGAUCUGCAUGUGCAGCCCUUCAUGGAAUCAUGGAAAGGGACCAUUAAAACUCAUCCAGUUCCACCCCCCUGCCAUGGACAAGGACACCUUCCACCAGCCCAGAUUCCCUGAAGCCUGACUCAUGGAGUGCUGCAGGUUCGACGUGAAUCCUGGAGGGUUUUGCAUCUGGGAUGAUAAAUCCUGAUGGAGCUGCCUCUUGUAGCUGCCCAUGGCUCUUCCACAUCUUAAUAAUAGUGCUGAUAAUAGGGGAGAAAAAGGAU